ensembl:lncRNA
GGAGAUUGUUCCUUGUGGUGCUUUCUUGUGAGUCUACAACACUGAAAGUACCACUUACAGGCAUGAAUGAUGCUGAGUCUGGUCCAGAGGCAAACUUGAAAGAGCAUUCAUCUGCCAUGGAUAAGAAGACAGAGAACUGCAGAAGUUAUCCCCAAAGUGCUGCCUGCCGCCUUCUUGCUGGCCAGCUCCUUUUGUAAAAAGAGUUUACUUGGAAACAAGGACAGAAUUACCUCUUCUCCUUGGGUGAAAUGUACUCUUUAGUACAAAAGCGAAGACCCAGCUAUGCACCGUCCUGUACUGCAGAGUCCAUGAGUCCCUUGAUCCCUGUGUAAUCCAGCUGAUGGUCCACUUCAAGAAGUUUAAUCACUGGUAACCUCCUUCCAGCACUGCCAACUCAGACAGCUGCAGGUCUUCCACUGACCCCCUCUCUUCUCAGCUGCUGUUACCUGGGUAUCAUCUCCAAUGCCUGCACUUAGUUAGGCUGGUGCCCACUCCAACUCUUGUCACUGACAUCGCACCACUCAGGCUGCUGCCUCUAACCCCAGUGCUCUGAUUUGAAACAAUCUCAAUUUGAGCCUUUCUGGUGAGGGGAAAAAAAAGUAGCAGGAGUUAAAUCCCCUUGUUUUCCUAGUCUGUACAUGUGCAACAUCAUCCCCCUGCCUGCCUUCAGCAACGUUCCUCACCACCUUUGGCAUAUCCCCAAGCUCUUCUCCAGAGAGCUUUCCACAGCACAAAGAUGUCAAUAGUACAAAUAAUUAAUGUCAAGUGGCUGUCAAUAACUUCUAGGUCUAAAAACAUAACAAAUGUAAACCCUUGUUAAUUAAUUGCAUCCUACCCUGAAAAGUAAACAGUGAGCAAAUGAGGACGGAUGUUAUGGUGGUAAUGACCAGUGAUCAUUAUUUCCAGAGAAACACUGAGAGGAACAGCAACUUUGGCACCUGUUAAGUCCUUAUGGAGUUUCUUUAUCUCCCAUCAUCUUCUGCAAAUGACUUUAAUUUUUUUUUUUAGUUACAGAAAAUAGAAGUGUACAAACAUGAUAUUAAAAAAGAAAAAUAUAUAUUUAUUUUAAAUAUGAAUUACAUAGAAAACUACAUAGAAAUGCAGCAAAUGAGAAAUUCUGUAUUUCAACUUGUGUUUGUAAAUGGGAUGCUGGAGAAGAGAGCAACAAGUUUAAAUACAAAAGCUUUAGAUCACUUUGGUUUUGACACCUAAAAUAAUCUCCCAAGAAUGAGCAAGGAAGAGGCGAAGAGGUGAUCUGUCUAAUGUAUUACUAUUACCUUUGGAAUAAUACCAGCCUGUCUAUUUUCUCCCAUUUGUACACGCAAUCUGACCCAAAGCCAGUCGUGGCCUCUCUUUCCCCCCAGUUUCCUGUCCGCUACACUAAGAACUGGAUGAGAGUGCAGUGAAAACAAGAUCUUCCUUGAGGGCUGAUUUUCAGAGCACAGGUGACCAUGACUAUCAGUGUCCUGAUGUAAUGAAUAGGGCUUUGUGAGAGAAGGGACCAGCAACCACCUCCAGUUUUCCCACACACAUUCCUAGUGUUCUACCCUUGAACUUUGUCUUCUGCAAUAGGAAGACUUCCAAGUAGAAGACUUCCAAGAAUGACAUUUUCAUGGCUAGUGCCACCGUGGGAGGAUGAUAUCUGAAGUUCUUUUAGUCUGGAAUAGGAAAAAAAGUGAAAAGGGAAAAAAAAAUCUGUGAGUCGUUGAGCCUAUUAGGUACCACUGAACUGAAAUCAGCUUUGUUGCAAUAAAAAUAAACAAAGUUCUCCAAAGCGAGCUUCUUAAUGCUGGUAGUGCUAGAUAUUCUUCUGUCUGCACAGCACAAUUUGUGGGACACGACGAUUUCUCUCAAAUUACUCUGUGGAGUCUCUUUGGAUGCUUAGAAGAAUGGGUCUCCUAGCUCUGGUGGAGUAGCAGGGUUAUUAAAACAUGGUGAGCUGUACUGAUUUCUGCAAUUAAUCAUGACUGAUUUAUCACUUGAUUGUAGAAAUGCAGCCUAAAUAGAUUUUUUCCAUCUCCCUUGCUCCCUAAUUGAUUUUUUUUUUUUUUUUGGAACACUGAAGCUUUGACUUCCUCUCAUAAAAUAGAUUAGAGUCAUUAAGACUGUGAGCUGUAUAAUCAUUCUGCUGCAUAAUUACUGUUACUACUGUUGUCUUCUGGUUUACAGUGUUUCUUUAUUAGCAGCUCCUACUGCCAGAAGGUUUAAGCAUUUAAUAAUCUGUCAAGGUGGUCUUUUGCUUGUUUUUUUUUUUUUUUUCUUUUUAACUUGAAGACCUUUUUGGCAAUAUCUUUAAACACCUGGCCAGGUCAGGUACUUUAAUACUCACUUAUCUCUGUCUAGUUGGCCUCACAUUGCUUUUUUAAUUAGUCGUCUUCUGGAUAGCCAGUUACUCAUUCAUCAUAUAUGAAAUGUAAGCAAGUCACAUGCAACAAUAACAAGCAGUUGGAAAUCAGAGCUUCCAGACAUGUUAUUGAGAUUGAUGGCCAUAGAGGGCACAUCAAGCAAGCUUUUAUCAGUUAGCAUAAGCAAAAGAGCCUGACCUAGCAUUCAUAGUAAAUGCAGGCUGCAGUGGUUUCCACAACACAGAGGAUUUAUACUUCCUGAGGAGUCCUGCUAGGCCUUGUCUCAGUGCUGAUGUGUCCAUCGGACUCUGGCCAUCCCAGAAGGGUGGGGAUGCUGAUUUAUGGUGUUUUGCUGCAGUGGUGGACAUUGGUCUGCUCUGGGGUCCAAGCUGCAAGGUGCAGCAGUGCCCAACAUGAGAGGAGCACUGAGCCAGGCAGCCCUGUCUCCCACCAGGACAAGGCUCUGAACAUCCUGCCGAAGCGGCUACUCCUAACGCAAAGCACCUGCUGCAGCCACAGGUGCGGGUUAGCUCUUAGCCUGCAAGAGAAUCAGAGCCUGGAGAGCAUUGGGAAGCACUGGGAGAAAUGAGCAGUUCACACCAGAUUUUUGAAACUAGAGAUGUGGCUGUCGAUCAGCAGGUACAGGGUUGAGGCAGUGAGCAAGAGAUCAAUUCUCCCUGUCCUUGCGCAAGAGGACAAAACGUAAUGGAAUUCCCUAUGUUACAAGUGAGAAGAAAUUUCUCAGUGCUAGAAGAUAGGGAAGCCUUGGAACAGAUGGCCUGGGGAUCUGGUGGCAUUUCAGCUGCUGGCAAUCACUGCAGAGGGAGAGAGAGACAAGUCUGUCAAAAAUGACAUAGAUAUAAUAGAGCCUCCCUCUUGGCAAGGCAGCGGGUCAGGUCGCCUCUUAAUUCUCUUUCCUGGCUGGCUCACUCUGUGUGUGCAACUGCAAACCAGAGGGAACAGAAAUGCUGUGAUUUGCAUGGACUGGUCCUCCCAGAAGCUGAAAACAAAAAUGCAGAGCAGUUUUUGAUGGACACAAAAAGAAUGAAAUCCUAAUGAGGGUAGUGAAGAAUUAUAACUGCAAAGAAUGAAGAGACAAAGAUUAAAAGUGGAAAAGAAUAUACAUAUUUUUAAAUAAAAUCUUCUGGACUACUGACAUCUUUGUAAUUAUGUGUUGGGACAGUGUUUCCUAUUAUUUUAGAAUUUCUUCAGUCAUUUGGAGACAAGAGCAAAGCCAAACAAGGGAGCAGGUAAGUGCGUAGAGGAGAUAUCUUCAGCUGUUACCCAUCAUUUCUGGAUGUGGGUGAGGAGUUAGGCAAGUUAAAGUCAAGAAUUAUUCUCAGGUGUUGGAUAAAGAGAAGAGUCCCAACUCUAUUAAUGUCUUCUCUGGUCCCAUCUAUGGCUUUACUCUGCAAAACUCUUUCUGUUCUGGAUUUGGGACCCCAACAACUGCAGGCUCCUGUAGGCCUUCUCAUCCCUGCGCUGUUCAGUGACCUACACUGAAGACAGCAGGAAGAUGGUGAUGCCCCUACAAUUAAUUGCCAGAAUAUGUGGAAAAAGAAGCAAAGAUGAUGUGGAGUCUGAAGGUCACUGCAGGGAGGAUGUGCUGAGUCUUACUGUGAACAUUAAAGGAAAAUCUAAACCUGCUCAGGAAUUAUGGGCUCUUGAACUCUGACUGACCUCCUCCAGUAGAUUUGCUUUUAGAGAAUAUUGUUUGAUUAGUGAUAUUAGGUGUCGAGCUUUUGUUGAUUUUUUUCACUUGGAAAGGGUGUAUAUUUUGAAGUAAUGACUGGUCAAAGAGGAGGAGUAUCAGUGCAUUUCAAGGAGCAAAGUGUGAGAGAUUUUCAGCUUGAUCUCAGAAAAUUGAUGUAGUCCACAUUGCAUACUGCACUGCACCUCCAGUUUGGACAGGAGAGGAGCUGUGUUAGCAAAUGCUCAACCAAAUGUAAAAACAUUGCUAAAGUAAUGGACUCCAACAAAGAUCCAAUUUCACUUUAGGGGAGAAAAUUGAUCUUCAGAAAAGCGAUUGGAGCUGCAGGUUUCCUGCUGUGGGAGAACCCAGGCUACCUGGGAUGUGUUCAGACCACAACAACUCCGUGUCCUUCUUGUGCUGGGGGCCCCAGAACUGGAUGCAGUAGUCCACGUGGGAUCUCACGAGAGGAGAAUAGAGGGGCAGAAUCACCUCCCUCAACCUCCUGGUCACGUUUCUCUUGAUGCAAUACAGGAUAUGGUUGUCCUUCUGAGCUGCAAGCACACGCUGCUGGAUCAUGCUGAAUCUUUCAUCAAGUGACAUUCCCAGAUCCUUCUCCUCAGGGCUUCUCUCAAGCCAUUCUCUGCCCAACCUCUGUCUGUGCUUGGGAUUGCCCCAACCUGGGUCAAUUUCAAAUGUCAAGUCAAUUUCAAAGGUGAAGUUUUACCAUUGUCUUACUAUUUGCUAGCAAGAGUGUAUUUGUUUUUUUAGCAGUAGCUUCAGUUCACUCAGUGACUGCUCUGAGCCAUCAGUGGCAUCAGGCAUGCCUCUCUCAAGCAUGAAAACAGCCUCUUGGAACACAUGAAAUGUGAGGCCGUUUCCUUGUGAGUUAGAAAUAGCAGUAAGAGGAGGCAUCUUUGUUCUGUUGUGCUUUACUUCUUGUUUGAGAUUUUCGAGGGUUUUGUUUGUUUGUUGUUUUCCUAAUUCUGUUUUACUUCUCCUUGUCGCAUUAGUGUUCUUUGAGGUUGGUUAGGUGUUUUUUGUUUUGGUUUGGUUUGGUUUGGUUUUUUUUGCUGUUUUGUUUUGUUUCCUAACCACAAUGCUGAGGAGAAUCAUUCAGCCUCCAGCUAUUUUUUAUGAAAACUUCUGAAGAAGAUAUCUAGCAUGUGUCCCUUAACUGCUCUUGUUCAUUGCUGGCAAAUGCAUAGCUAAUGGUGGUGAUUAUAUUGAAAAUCAGUGUUCUGUAGCUGAGAAUUUGCUCUAUGAAAUAGUUUUAUUACUCUCUUUGUAUCUGUUGUCAUUUCCAUGGAAAUAAAUAGGAGGCAUUACUUUCAGAGUGACCUGCAUAUGUGAAUGGAGAAUAGAUACAUUUUCACUAAAUAUUCCAAAGCCAUCUCUGUGCAAUACCCCUGAUGUCUGUGCUGUCUUGAAAAGGUUGACCUUGUUGAUAUUCAAGAAGAUGAGUGUUAAAUGGCUUCAGUGUGAGGUUCUGUUGAAAUGAUAGAGAGAGUAGAUACCACUUCUUCUCUAGAAAUUAUUAGACUGCAUUUAUUAAACAACAGAAGAAUUUGGCAAAACAGAGCAUGUAAGCUGAGAAUAAGGGAACUUAGGUUUGUCAGCUGUAAUUAUGUUUAUGGAAGUUUCUUGUACUGUAUGUUCAUAGCUUCUUACACUCUAUACCAGAAGUCAUCAGUACCCAAUUGCGUAUCUGGCUCUUGCUGUCUUGUGAAAGACAUUCCCUUUUUGUGGAGACCUAUAGACCCUCUUCUUCCUAAGGAAUGGUUGCAUGUCCUAUUUUGGCAACCGCAUGAAAGGGGAGAUGUUGAAAUAAAACAUAAUUAGUAAUGAUUCUCCAGUAUCACCUGAUUACACCAGUAAUAAAAAUGUAUUUGGGUAAAAUUAGUAAAUUAAUGCAGAUUGAAAUAAUUGUCAGUAUAAAUGAUUUGGUUUGAGCUUUGCUAAACAAAUUGUGUGUUUUAACAGACAAACAGUUAUGGUUUAGUGCAAAAAGGAUUUUAAAAGUCAUUUUCAAUGCAUAGUCCCUAUCUAUCAGGGAGGAGAAAUAAGGGAAAUGACUCUUCAAGGCACCAAAUAUUUUUGUAUACAAAAGUAGAUUUCAUCUCAUAAAAUAAUUUUUGAAGAGAAAAACACUCCUCCCUCUUGCCCUGACCUCAGAUGGAAAGGAGAAGAGACACCUAUUGUGGUACAAUGUUGCUUGGGAAAACAUUGUGGCUGUCUGUGUUGAAGGAAAUGAAAAACCAUUAAAAGGAUAAUAGAAUAAAAGUGCAAUGAGAUGUUCGAAGGAUCCAUCAAUAAAAGGAUGGCAAGCAAUCGCUAAAGACAGCCCUUUCUAAAUGUAGUUUUAUUGCCAGAGGAUGGAAAAUUGAGAGAGAAUUUGCGAACAAUUGAAUUUAUGGUAAUGGCAUAUAAGCAUAUUGUACCACCAAAGCAAAGCACAGAGAGAGUAUAAAACACAAAAUACACCUAUGUCCCAUGGAAACGCUCGUGUUCUGCCUAUUAUCUCCUGGUAUUGCAAAAUGUAAUAUCCAGAUAUUAAAAUCAAAUAUAUUGUGAAAUGCAUUAGCAGUCGUUGACACGGAUGACAUUCUGCUCUGUGCCUGCUUUAAGGUGAAUUGCUGGACCAAAAGUAAUGCCAGAGGUGAGUGCAAAGGAGCUUGCUCCUGUGUGCUCAGGGCAACGUUGUUUCUUGGCUUCGGUGACAUCUGGGCAUCCCUGUGCUGGCUUAUGGGCAAAUCACCUGGGGAUAAUUUGAGUCAAUUUGGAUUUUAAGCCUUUUUAAAAUGCGCUGUUGCUCGGUCCGUAGAGCCGGCAGAGGUGACUGCUAAACAACAGGCAGGAAGAAAAUAAUUAACUGAUGGGCUGGGAGAUGGAGCCUGCCAGUAACCAGAUAAACCGGAAAGGAGAAGAACUUCUGCCACAGGACAGGCACAAAUAUCUGCUCUGUCCGAAGCCACAGACAAAGGCUGAUAGCGUGAAAAACCUGUGGCUGAAAAACCACAGGCGUCAGGGAACUAACUGUAUGCUUACAGUCAGCCUGCACUCGACCAGAAGGGCAGCCUUCAGGGAGGGAUGGGGAAGGCUUUCCUGUAAGACGCUUCGAUUUUCUUGCAUCUGUGGAGAAACUGCUGGCCUGCUUUCAAAGAGGAUAUCUGUGGGUGGUUUGGGUUUAGUUUUUACACCAUCUCCCUGCUUCACGGUACCAGCAGCCUGCUGUAGCACUGUGCCUCCCCUAGGGGCUGCAGGGUGGUGAGGUGUUGUUUCUGAUGCCCCAUCCCCACUGCUGCCCUCUCCCAUUGCUCUCGCUGCAGUGCUGCUGCCUGCAACAGGGGGACAACACAGCUGCAAAAGCAAUUGGGGAUUACUUUCUAGUGUUGUUUAGCUUUUUAAAGUGUAGUCCUUCCUACCACCAAGGAGAGCCUGCAAGCAAGUACUGGUGGGAUUAGAGAGCAUUGGGUUCUAGUGUUGGGUUCGAGUGUAGGCAGACAUGAGGUUAGAGAGUGUUGGCAGAUCUCGGAAUGUACCACCAACACACAGAAAUGGCAGAGCCAGCUUAUGACCCUGCUAAGACAAGUGGACAAGCCACCGACAGUUAAAAUACUACUAAGCCAAGACUCUGUUUUAAAGAUAAAGACUUCAGUGUUAACUUCUUUGUCAGCAGCACAGCAUUGUCUCUUUCCCUAAAAAUCUAAUUAGCAUGCAUCACAGUGUUGUUAUUAUUAAAGACUCUACCCCUCCUGAAAUAUAACAUUUCUGAUUUACAAUGUUUUGUUUGUUUCGCAUUGUUUCACCUGAAAUACGGUGACUGCUAAAUCUCUGGUAAGCCCUUAAAUGAGGGAGGAACAGCAAAAUGAGCUCUGCCGAAGGAUUUUAACCUAUCAUUCCAAGAGCAUAGUUAUCUUGGCAGCAAACAAGGAUUUAAGUACCUUUGAGACAUUUGACUUUAAUUGUGGAGGAAUGGCAUCAUCAGCUGCAAAAAGUUAAACCCCUCAAAAGCACUCUACUUUUUCAUUAGCAACUAUUUAGGUGAUAAUUAGCAGGAGGAGGACUGGAGGGAUGUCAAAGCAUGUGCAGAAUCACCUGGCCUUGGGAGGGUCAUAGGGCCUUUCAGAGAGUUCAUUUUGAGUUCCUGGAGGUCUACAGCAUGGAAACGUGAUGCUGUGGGCAGUCUGUAGCUUAGCUGAGAGGAGAAAAGUUAAAACCUGGCUCUGAAGAUAAAGCUGGGGAGCAAUUUGUGAGUAUAUUAAGAGCUAGAAUGGAAGUUGGUCGUGUCCUUUCACAGGGCAUGAUUCUUGGGGUUAUGUUAUUUCCCUCGCUAUCACAGUAGGCAUCCUAAGAGUUUGAUGUGCUGUUGUCUCAUGAGCAGCCCUGUAAGUGUAACAUAAAGCAUGGGGAGCUGGAGGAGGUAUUUUGAUAUUAGUUCAAGAUCUGCACCCUCUUUUCCCACACAACCAGAGCUCUUGUGAUAAAAGAUGUAUACAUACAGAAACAACAAUUAUUUUCUAGAUAAUUUCUUAUAAUAUGAAAAAAUGUGGAUAGUACUGACUACAUGUUCUGCAAGGAGCUAUGGUGGAAACCAUCAUGGAUUAAAUGCUCCCAUCUGUGGUACCUAGCUACUUGUGAAUGUUUCAGACCUUGUUUGUUAGGAAGCUGGACUUUCCAAGCACUGAUAUGCAUCCGUGGCUGCUGCUUUCUCCUCAGGAGCUGCCCCUCCCACUGGUCACUACAGCAUGGUGGUGGUUUGAUGUGUCCUUCCAAGGCUGGCCACUGUCAAUCACCAGCUUUGUGAUAAUGAGCGCUCAGCUGGCUGUCCUUGUUCUUCCCACCUCCUCCCAUUCUCCAGUCAGAAAUCCUGAUUUACUAAGCUGUCUUCAAGCACAAAUCUGAUUCAGUACUGUAUUUGUCAAUCCCAACUCCCUUCAUUCAAGCAGAAUGGCUGAAAAGCAGCAAACACAACUCUGCACCUGAUAGGGUCCAGCACUGUGGAAAUCAGUAUCUGAAGACUGGAGUCAGGCUCUCCUUCUAUACAAUUUAAAUAAGUUCUUUACAGAGGGAACUAUGCAUUUCCUUGUCAAUCACUGCCUUCUGCCAAGUACUCAGCUUUCAUUCUCUUCACCAUUAGCCCUGUCUUCAAUUUAUUCUGUAUAAAUUGAGAUGCUGUAAUUGGGCUUCUCUGGGUCUGCACAGCCUGUCUUCAAGUACCCCAAGUGUCUUUUCCAGUCUUCAAUUACUCCUCUGACAGACUACAGGCAUCCUGCCUUUUAGUUUAUUAGGCAGCUUCUUAUCUCAAUUGUAGUCUUAAAAAACUCCAUCAUUUCAGUUGCACAGCUCUAAUAAUUAGUUUCUGCUUUUCUGGUCUGGAUAGUGCUACUUUAGCUUUUAUAAAGAAAAUGGGAGAAAGAGCUGUAUGGCAGAAACCAUUACCUCUGGUAGCGCUCAGCCAUGUAGAGUGAGCACUCCAGUCAUAUGCAUCAGAUUCUGAAUCCUGUAAAGCUGUGGUGAUGAGCAGACAAACAACAACAACAAAAAGGUGCUAACAGGGGAUGAAAAGAUGAAUGAGGUGAGAUAGAUUACCUUUUCACAAAAAAUGCUCAUUGUAUCUUUCCAUUGCCAAUCUGUAGCAAUUAUAUUUUCAUUGGGAAGAUGAGCUUGAUCUGGGUUUAGAGAUGCACGUAUGAAUCUUAAUCAUGUAGCAAUAUAUGUAGAACAGGCUGCCAAAGUACAAAUAUUCUGAUUUUCACCUGCAAUAAUACCUGAAGUUAGAAUAAGAUUCAGCACUUCUAAAUGUUAUUUAACCUCCGGAAGAAGGAAGCCUGAUUUGAAUGCAUUGAGAUGCUAUGAACUAGAGGUGUUUUAAUCAGGUAUUCCCACCAGUGGGAAUCCAUAACUGCAACAAAUAUUCCUCCAGAUGAAUGAACACAAGGAUCACUUUUGGCCUUCAGCUGCCCCUACUCCUGACCAGCCACGUGACGCACUGCUGGGUCUUGCAGACAAGCCAUCUUCUGUGCCUAGAGAGAGUAUUGGGGUAUCUCCAUCCACUUCCAUCAUUUGUCAGGCUGCACCAAGCUCAUCGCCACCAGAGCUGGUCCAUCUUCUGACCAUUCACAGGCAAGCAAUUUGGAGCUCUUUUUUCUGGAGGCCAGCAAACAUGUGAUACCUCAUAUGAUGUGGAGUUCUAUGGGCACUACAGGAGCCUGACAAAAGGUUAAGUAAGACCCUUGCCGGGCAUUAUUUUAAUUACUCACAGGUACAGUGCAAGGUGGUGCCUGCCAAGGCUACUGCUCAUUUGGCUGUGCUUCAAUGUUGUUCAGGCAGGAGGAAGUUUUAAUAAAUUAUCAUCAAGCAGGGAACGUGGCUAUAAUACUGUGCCAUAGAAUGGAGAGUUUUACAGCUAUUUUCAGUCUUUCUGGGUCAUAUCUCAGCUUCCUUCCUUUGAACUCUUGUAAGGGAAUUCAGUCUAUGUACAACAUUAAGGGUUUUUUUUCCCCUUUGGCGGAGCCCUGAAUACCUUCAUUUUUCAAAUAGAGAGGCUGAUCCCAUAACUCAGAUGAGUUAGCUGCCUUAUGGGCAUGACACAUAAAGGCAGGAGAAACUGGCCUUUAUGUGCAGGGUCUGCGACCCAAAAAGCGUGACUCGCAUACUUAGUUUCCAUCCUCUUGACAAGUAGCCAGUUUCUGCAGUAAGAUGAAAUACAUCUCCUCUACACAUAGCUGCUACCAUUUUAAGGUUAAAUCUUGACAAACUCUGGAAGGCAGCAGGGAAAGUUCAGCUGUUAAAAAUGCAAUGGGGUUUUAUGGAAAGGCUUUCUGAGGAUGAUGAGCAUAUUGGCAGGAAAAACUAUCAGCGAUUUCAGUACAAGUUUUUUGGUGCCUGCAUUCCAGCUGUAAAAAAAUACACGUGCACCUGAAAGCUUUUUUCAGGACCAGAAAGCUAUAGACAUAAAACUAGCUGAGAGUUACGUGGUUGCAACUGAAAGCAUUCAGGCACAAAAUGUUUCCUUUGACCAAUUCUUUGUGCAAAUGGCAGGGAUGGUGAGUGCUUGUGGAACUUGCUUGUUUGAGAGACUGUUGGUGAAAUACAGUACUAGAGAUGCCAUACCCUAUGUUUUUUCCUACUUCAAAGCAGGGACAUUAGUGGAGAUGUGCAAACUGGGUCCUGUAUCUAACACGUUCAUGUGGUUGCAGUUUGUCCCUGGCACCCAGCAAGCAGAGCAGUGGCCACACUCCUUUACCUAUCUCUGGAUUUUACAGUGUUGUACAUGAAGUUAAUGAGAUUUGUCAUUAAAAAAAAAAAAAAGCAACACAUUGACCAUCUCUGUUAAUAAUUGACUUAAUGAGGCCCUAACCACCUUAUCCCAUCCUGGAGAAGUUAAUUGAGGGGAUUGUGUUUUUAAUCUGCUUUGAGAGCCCUAAUCUCAUGUUCUAGCACUGCCAAGACAGAGAUUGAUUGGUUGAUUUUGGUCUCUUGGAGCAAAAUAACAACCUCCUGAGACAGACAUUGGCAUUUUCCCAAAGAUUAACUACAUGGCAUAAGGAACCAGGAAAAAAAUGCAGUUUCCUUAGUGGUGUUCAAAUGUGGGUUGCUACACUGUGUUUCUGGAAAAUGCAAACCCAUAGAUGUCAGGCUCAUAGGUGUGCUGGGGACCUCCUUGCCAGAGUGCCCACCCAGCUACAUAAGACACUGCCCAAGGAGCUGGUCAGGGUGGCGUAAUAAAAUUCAAGUGUGAGAAGGAAAAUCCACCCCUACACAGAGAAAUUUCCUGGGGAAUUGCAGGAAAAAAAAUCUGGGGAUGUUGUCAAGAGAUAUGAUCUCCCAUUUUGUGCCAAUGCAAGAUCAAGAACACUUAAGCUAUUUGUUGGUCAAUGUUCUUUUAGAUAAUGAUUUGAAGUGUGAGAUAACUAAUGUACUUGUUCUGUUCAACACUACCCACAGUUCAUUUUGAGACAACCAAUUACUUCCCUAAAAAAACACUACUCAUUUCCUGGGGUCUAUGAUAUGGGCACUUCUCUAAUCAGGAAAAAAAUGGCAAUGAAACACAUUUGUUGCACCCAGUGUUUUCAAACACAUGUAGCAUCCACGCUGGUAUCACUAAACAUUUAUUCUGGUUAAACCGAUCAUAUCCAUAGAGUCUUUCUUUCCCUUUUGGUUUCGCAUAAGGAUUGUUAAGUCUUUCUGCUGUUCAAACCACUGAACUAUAUAUUAAUUUUCUUUGAACUUACGUUUAUUUUAUCAUGCACCAUAGUGUCUUCUGCUUCCUGGGAAUUACAGUCAGUGCAAAGCAGGAAGGCUGCCAGGGAAGUCCAAUAUCUGAGGGUGAUAUGAGAUUACAGCCCAAAUCUAAUAAGGAUAGAUUAGUUUUAUUUCUCAUUUAGCCACGAGCAUCACUAGUAGAACAAGAUAUUAAAUCAGACUUCUAAAAUUGUACCUGUGCUCUGAGCAGCUGGCCAGCUGCACUAGUCCCCAGCCUCAAUACUUUCUCUUGCAUCCUGAAAGACCACAGCCAAGGCUUUCCAGAAGCACUGCAAGCCAAAUGCCUCUCUGGAAUAUUCAGUGAAAUCAUUUUAAUGAACCCCAAAUGAUUCUGAACCAACACUUGUGCACAAAUCUACAGCAUGUCUAAAAUCUGUGGGAGCUUUCAUGCUGGUUUUCUUUUUUGGUAUAACUUUGUGACGGGCUUUUUUUCCUCCUUGUCAAGCACUUUACCAUAGAAAAACAUUUGUUAGAGAAAUAUACCACAUGAGUCAGUGCAAUU